rnacentral:lncRNA from 12 species
CUCAAAAUACUGACCCAGCUGGUGUGGAAAUUUCAUUUUUUCCAACUUAUGAUAAUGAAUUGAAUAAUUAAAAAAAAAUCAUAAAACAACUCCAUAUUGCAUCCAUGGAGAUUCACUAGGAAGAUUUGCACUUAAUGGAUUUUUACAUGGAAUGGAUUUUUUUUUUCCAAAGUUCAACGAGAGUCAAGACUACAUCCGUACGUGUUUAGGAGCCAAAAAUUCAGCUGCAGGUAACAUCCCAUGUUGAAUUUUUAGACUGUUCACCAAGGUCAACAUUCAUCAAGCCUUUAGUCUACUACACUUCAAAGAUUUUCCUCUCUCUGCUCUGGAAAUACAAGUGCUAUUCUUUCCAAUGCUGGAAGAAAAAUCCCUGAAAUCUCUGCCCCUCAGCCCCAAAACAGAAGAAAAGAGAAGAUUAUGCCAUACACAGUCAGGUGGCAUUUGUCCAGAAGCUGACAUGUCCUUUCAUUGCUAAAAACCUUGGUUUGGAAUGGAAUGGAGUCAAGUACAGGAAGGAAAAGAUUAUGGAAACAGUAAGAAUUUGAGACCUCAGCGAUCUUCAGACACAAUAAAACAUUUUCUCCUGUUAUCAGCAGCCAUAAAAAACAUAGAGAUGCUGCAACCCAAGUACCCAAGUGAAGGCACAGUUCCAUCUGAGAAUGCUUUGGGUUCCAGAAGGUUCAGGUUCACAGCAUGAACUUAGAGACUGGCUAUUGAGAACACACUGGUUGGUAAGUCUUUGCUAGGUGAAGAUACAAUUCACAUAACUUAGAGACUGGCU